AGCUACUCCCAGUUCUACUCUGCGUUCCCUGUGUCCCAGUCUCUGCUGGAGCCCGUGUUUCUGCAGGUUGAGCUCCUGCAGCCCCAUAGCCAGACUGACCACCUGAACUGGACUCCAGCCCUCAAUGGGACCUGGUCACUGAUUGCUGCCUGGUCACUGGAGACUCCUACAGAACCCACUUCCCUACAGAUCCCACCUGGAGGAUACCUGCAGUAAGACUUGUGUGCCUGGAGCCCAGAGAUCUGCUUCAGUGGUUUCAAUAUAUCCCCACGCUAAAUCGCAGAGUCAGCUCUGAACACGGCAUCCUUUAUAUUCCCUUGUGUGAUCGAGUGGAAAUCUGCUCUGCAGCGCACUCCAGCACCCACACAGCUCCAUGACCUGCACACCGCAGCACAAUUGUUGUACAAAGGCUGUUUUAUCAGUCACUGUUGUGGAUUAAAAUAGUAUUGGUUUUAAGAAUAAAUAAUUAAACUCACAUGGAGAGGUGUCAGGUCACGGGCAUUUCCUGUGCUGUAAACCUGGACUUUAUGGAGACGGGCAGAACGCAGUUCACGCUAUUCCUUAUUCAAUGCUGCCAUC